rnacentral:lncRNA from 1 species
CUUUAUUCUGAGUAUAUUACCAAAAGUUAACCCGUGAACUGCUCUGAUUUAUCUCCUGAAUAACCUGCAGCACCCAGGCUAAUUCCUAAGACAUCCCUGUGACCAAGACUUUAACUUUCCUCAAACUGAGAUAGACAUUUUCUGUCCAGUGGAAUAAACACAGAAGGUCUGGUGGUUUAUCCAGUGACUUGUGUUUCAAACAUCAUUAUUUAUUAACAUUUUCCAUUUCCUUCAUAGCUUUUGGGUUCAAGUUACACCAGGCUGGGAGGUACACAGUGUAAGGCUGCUUUUGCCUUUGUUGUGUGGGGAGAAAUACAACACAGGCAAUUAUCCUACAGAUUAUCUGGUUUACAGCUUUUAAGAGCAGCCAUCCUCAGUUCUUGUGAUUUUGGGGAAAGCUUGGGAGGUUUCAGAGGGUGAGAGGAAUUACUGUGGGAGGAAGGGUGAGAUCUUCAGCUGCAGAUUGGAAGCCAGAGGCCACCACAGCAUUCUCAGGUUACUGAGUCUUACACCAGACCAACUCAAAAGCUCUUGUGACUUCUGCUGGCAGCUCAGAGCCCAGGGGAGCCAAUAAAUGGCAAAAAGGGAUUAGCAAGGACAGGGAUGAGGAGCCCCAAAGCUCCUCCUUGGGUCAGAGCACUCAGAUGGGUCAGCAAGGACCCCUGUGUUGACUUCAUUUCCAAAUUGCAAACAUCUCUUGACUGGUCCUGCUGGCCACGAGCCCGAUUUGUGACAAUGGCCCAGCUCAAACCAUCGUCAGCUCAGGAUCUGAGCCAAGCUUUGGGCAAAUGGUCACAUUUUUACUUAAUCCAAUAUUAUGAGCUUGAAAACAAGCUGGUUACACCAAGGUACUCAGUGCUCUCUUUUAAUGUCAGUAGCUGAGUGAAAAACUCUUGUGUAACUCCCAGAAGGGUCCUUCUGAUUACAAAAAAAAACGGUGCUUUACUUUAUGUACAGUGUCAAAUCUCUUCUGCAAGCAGGAAGAAUAGUCAUGUCAUGAAUGGGUAGGUACUGUUUUAUUAUUUAAUGUGUAUGACACAAUCUAUUUAAACCAUACGUGUGUCACAUCUGCUGCCUUCCUUGCCUGUGGAAGGACAGCUGAGGAAGUUCAUUUGUGUGUAUUUGUGUUGUUUGUGUAUCAUCUGUGUUGCCCUGGAAGUGGCACAGCACAGGAUGCUGAGAGCUGCUCAAGCUGGGAGCUUGGUGGGGCUGGCCAGGGAAGCCCCAGAGCAACCUAACCCUGCUCUUUAUAAUCACCAAGGACACCCUUCCUAGCCAAAAGCUCAUGCUCUGUGGCUCCUCUUUUCCCCUUGCUGUCUCGACACUCAGACUCACAAUCUCCACAGAAAUCUCCAGUCACAAUCUCGACAGAAAUCCCUGUGUAUUUUUUUUUCUGGAUUUUGCCUCCUGUUCCAUGGCUUUGACUGCUGGUGGAAAAAGUCAAACUUCCUGGCCCAAGUAGAGGGAUGAUCUAUGCUGUAUUUCUAUUAUUCCGUCAGGCUUUAAAGCUCUCCAGCCUCUCCCUUAUCCUUCAAUGCCUCGUCAUUGGCGUGACUAAGGACAGGUUGUUCACCAAUUGAAAAAUGACCUUUGCUAGGAAUAGCUGUCAUAAAUCUCCAUUUCCCUGUCCUUCUGUGCAUGAGCCUGCAGAAAUGUCACUGAGGAAGUCAAGGAAUUGGAUUGUGUCAGAUUUGCAAGAACAUUCUGCUUUCUGAGGCAAAGGUCUGUGUACAUGAGGUUGCCCAUACCUGCCACAUUUUAACCUCCUUGUAUUUCUCCAUCCCAUCAAACCUUUUGAUCCCCUCUUAAUUAAAGUAGUGGAGGAUUCGUGCUGACCCCAGUAAUAUGUGAAAGUACCACCCUCCUGCUCCCCAACUUGUCCCUAACUGGUGCUUGACACGGUAACAUUCCCUUCUGUAACAAGUAACAUUAUGUUGUCUGCUCUUUUUCUUUGUUUCUUCACAUCCCAGCAGUAAUUUUAAAAUCCAUGUGUAUAUAUAUAUAUAUAUAUAUAUAUAUACACAUACCUACAUAACAAAUCAUAGUAUAGAUAGGAAAAAAAAAGAGAAUUUUUUAAUCCUCCCUUCUUCAUUUGUUUCUUGUUUGUUGCUGAUAAAAUUCCACUCAGCUGUUAUUUCACAUGGUCUGGCAACACCCAGCAGCCAUUCUGUAUUGGAGGGAAUAAUGUUUUGAAUAUUCCCUCUGCUAAAUAUCAGUGACAGUUGAAAAGGGUUGUGUGUGUGCGCAAUAUCCCAUUUUAUUUGUGCUCAGAAAGCUUGACUUUGAGAUUGGCAGCUGGAAAAGGCAAUUCCCACACUGCAGAAGCAGAGAGCCCAGCUCCCAUCACAGCCUAGACUGACAGCAGAUCAUUCCAGCAAUACUCCCAGCACAGAAACACCACCACUUGUUCUUGCCUUGCCAGCACAAGAAGCAGAUUUUGGGAUACACUCUGGUGGGCUUGUGUUUUGUUAGUGUUCUUGCCCAGGCUGAGGCAGGCAGCCCAGCCCUUGCCCUGGACCAGCUCACCCGUGCAGCAUUCCCAGCCCAGGCAGGUCCCAGCAGAGCUGUGUACAGGCACCCACUGUCUGAAAGCUCCCAAUCCAGAGCCUGCAGAGCCAGGGGCUGGGGGAACUCACCUGCCCCCCUUUCUUAUGGAUUGUUUCUUCCCCCUUGUUGUGGCUGGAGCCUGCACUUGCAUGUGCUGAGACCCUGUUUUGAUGGUUCAGAAGAAGAGCAGAUAUAAAACAUCCUCACCUGUCUUUCCUCUACCUCCCCUCUCUUGUCUGCCUGACGUUCUUCCCAAACCGCUCGACACUAAAGGACAAGUUGUAUUUAUCUGCAGAGGAGGUCAAGGACAGGAGUCACAUUCCUGAAAUGCAGAGGUCACAAUGCAAUUCAGCUUGUGGAAGAAGGAGCAAAAAUGGGGCACCAAUGGUGGAGACCCCAUGAUCAGAACACUCUGGAUUAGUGAUGUUUUCCCCAAAUUUAUUAUCAACUCACCUGUCAGUCAGCUUGCAAUGGUCUGAAUGAGUUUUGUCAUUACCUUUUGAUACCCAUUAAAUUGUUUACACCUUUUAGUAGCCCUUGCUUCUCUCUUCUCAAAAAAAAAAAAAAAUCGAAAAAACAAAAGCAGCAGCCAGUUUUUUGUCCAUAAAUAGCAACUUUCAAUUUUUUGUCAUGCUCGGUGUCUCCUGUACCCUUUCCAGUUCUUCAAUACCCUUCCUGUGUGGUCUCCCUGACCUUUUCUCAGAGUGUAAUUAUGCUUGUAUACGACAUCCUGCAGCACUAAUGAGGCAAAGAAUGCCUUCCUCCCUCUCUUUUUAGAAUAAACAGCACAGACCGUGGCCAGCAGGACCAGGGCAGCAAUCUCCCCCUGUACUGGGCUCUGGUGAGGCCACACCUCAAGUUGUGUGUCCAGUUUGAGCCCCCCAGGACAAAGGAGACAUGGAGGUGCUGGAGGGUGUCUGGAGGAGGGCAGUGAGGCUGAGAAGAGUCUGGAGCACAGUUCUGAGGGGAGUAGUUGAGGGAGCUGGGGUGGCUCAGCCUGGAGAACAGGAGGUUCAGGAGGGACCUUAUCCCUCUCUACAGCUCCCUGACAGGAGCGUGAAACCAGGUGGAGCUCUUUGAAGAGCUAUAGGAGAAAAUAAGAGAUGGAGCAAGUUCAGAGGAGGCAGACUUGUUUCCUGGCUCCCAUGCCCAUUAUACAUGAUCCUGGCUACGACAAAUCUCUGACUAACCUGCUCUAGAUGCUUCAUGGUAGCACUAAGGAAACUGCAGAUUUGGUGGUGGGAAGGUCAAGGAGUGAAGGUUGUACAGCCCCGUGAAUUUUUUUCUACUGUGAUCCUGUUUAUCCAAAAAUCAGUGGCUGGACAUUCAAUCAGAAUAACAAGCUGGGGAAAUGUAAUCUGCAUUUUACCUGCAUUUCUGUAACUACCAGAGAAAUCAUAAAAUAAAACACAGCUAUUGCUAAAGAUUACUCAGGAGACUCCUCUUUGCCCAAAUAUAUGUCACCUUUCAAGAGAAUGCCUAGGUAACUUUGGAUCUGCACCAUCACAUCACCUACACAGUUUAUCAGUAUCAGGGGUACAUUCCUUGGAGUGCAGGCAUUAGGAAUGCACAGGCCAUCAUAGAUCAAAUCUGAGGCUUUCUUGGAAGGCAGUGGAGAAGCAAUUACCUUACAGAUGUGAUAAGAUAAUCUGUUACGCAAAAAGGUGUUCCUACCAGACUAAGGGGGAAAAUUGUGGCUAACAGCUUGUACAACCAGAACCCCAAGCAUCAGACAAUGGGACAUUGGUGCUUGAAGAGAAGCGUCUCAAAGCACAGGGUGGAAAUAUGUAUGUGUGGUGUGGCCUUCAGCCUGGAGAAGAGGUACAAUUAUCACAGUUCCAGCUCAUGAAAAUGAACCCCAAGGACCUGCUCAUGUAUGCAAGACAUUCAAGUGGACAAGAGUUUGCAGUAAUGGUGUUGGGCAGGUGUGAAAUGGUGCAGAGAGACUCAGCUCUGAGAGGACAAGCAAUUACCUGUGUUGUAAAAAUUACUCUGAAGUUUCCUGCUCCUACUUUUAAUACCGCAGCAGCCACCCAGUUUAGAUAAAUAUCUCUAGUUAAUCUGGAAAUUAAACUAGAUAAUCACAGCCAAGUUAGAAAAUCCCAGACUCAGAAACUGUUCUUCAUUUUGCCCAGAUUAACCCACAGGGAUUUAAAUGGUGUUGCAAGUUAUUUUUAACUGAGUUAUCACUAAUCUCCCUCUAUACUUUUUAGACUGUACAUAUUAAAGUCACACUGUCAGAAAACAUGGAGACAGUUAUCUUCCAAAAAUAAAAGAGCUGACAAGUGGGAUAUAGGACUUAUUUUGCCAGAUCAUGGUCAUGUUUGGGCUCCUCCUGUUUCUCCCGCUACACAACUUUAUUCCUGUUAAAUUCCUCUGCAAGAGCUAUGGAGGAAUUGCAGCCUUAAGGACCAUGUAUCCCUAUGGCAGAGCCCUCAGCAAGUCCCAGGCUGAAGGAGGAGGUUGGUCAGUGUAGAUAUCAGUGUAGAUAUCUCUCAUCCACAGUCUUGGGAUGGGAAAUUCAAUAUUUUUUUUCACUGACUAGUUUUAGGAAUCUUACUGACACUUCACGCAUGCUAGAAGGAGUGACUGCUUUGUCAGCCAUGAUAGGUGACCCUCUUGUGCCUGGGGCAACCUUGAAUGAUUAGUUUUGAAGUUAAAGAUCUGGAGGUGUAAAUGGGUUUCUCUCCGGUAAAAAAAAAAAAAAGUAGAAUCCCAAAACCCCUGCAAAUGUACUCCCAGCCCAGGUCAAGUGCUGGGAGCAAUUCCAUUGCUGCACUAGGAGAUACAAGCUAAUCAAUCACCAAGACACCUUCCUUUCAUCCCUAACCAGAGCUCCAGAGCUCAGCAAAGGACCUGCACAACAACAGCACAAGGCUGGUAGAGGCAUCUCUGCAUCUCUCUUCCUGGCAGGAAUUCCCGUAUCAGCCAAGCUAGCAGGAUCUGUCUGUUUUGGAAAACAACGGAUAUAUCAAACAUCCUGGCAAAGCCCAGGAGAAAUGACAGUUCAAUGAUGUUGAAAAGAAAAUUAUCAAAGAGAGAUUAAUUUGUCUGACAGUACGUCUUUAUGCUCUCCACUGAGGAAGAACAAGAGUCCUUUCAUGCAUAUUGAAUUUACUUCUGGUGAGUCAACCUCUGUCAGCAGGGCUCUAAGUGCUGCCGGUUCAGGAAAACGGGUGAUUGCUGCUACCUGGCACCUGCCCCCUGCACACCUCGGAGCAUCAAAGCUUUCCAGCCCCUGCUUCUGCCACCAGCAAUGCUCAUUUUGCACCCUGGCUCAGGGCAUAGCACUCAGAACAUCUCCCGCACUGUCCAUCAGAACAUGAGGAGGCAGAUGGGACAGCCAAAUGCGGGGCUGCAGACCAUGGAGAGCCCAGAGUCCGGGUUUGGAGAUGCAAAGAGGGAAGGGAGCAAAGGUGCCUGUUAACAGGAGUGGCAAUCCCAAGCCAUUUCUCACAUGACAUUGCAGGUGAAGCACCCUGCACUGCCAGCUGCCUGGGGCCCUCUCUGUCUGCAGGACACAGCAAAACUUGGCCAUGUUUUGCCACAGCCAGCUCUUGACUGCUGUGGGUCACAGCUUGUGCAGAAGCAAUAAUCCCUGAACAGGCACAGAAUGAUGCUGAGGAACAAUGUUCUACUAAGAGUACCUGCAGCAGGUAUUUAUCCCACACUCACCAUCCAUUCUCUUCCAAGACAUCCAUGAGCUAAAAGCUCAGUUACAAAGUAAUGCCCAGAAGUUUCAGGUCCUUUUUUCUCAUAAGAUGCCAAACACAAAUGACAGUGGUAUGGAUUUUGCCUUAUGCUCCUGCAGUUCUGCACACCAUUCCGGCAGCCCAAAGGUGGCAGCAACCCAACUGAACUCAUGGGUUGUUUCUUUCCUGCAAGCAGGCAAUGACACAUGAGGCAGCAGGAAUGGGGUGUCACUCCCCACUGUGACACAGCUGGGGACAAGGACAGAGUCACGGGGGGACUGGCUGGGCACAGGGGGUGCCUCUGGGAGGCUGCAGCAGCUGGCAUCCCAAAGAGCAAUGCCCACACAGGUCCCUGUGUCCAGGGCAGCAGCAACAGCUCCUGUUUGCUCAGGCACUUCUUCCAUCACAGGGUUUUCUUUUGCAGCCUCUUUGUUGAGAGGGCAAACUGUAUAGGCAGUAAAACUGAGCAACUCAACGUGAGCCUGUUGUUUAUUUAAAGCAUUGCCCAAACUACUUAUUUUUCCUGGCAUGAAUCUUGGUACUGAUGGAAUAAGUUGAGCAAAUCUUCCCAGCCAAAAGAUGAACCAGAAACUGUCACAAAAGCAGGCACGAAAAGUUUGGCUAAAGUAUAAGGAACCAAAGAAAGAGGGUCUGGCACCUGGCAGCUUCAGUAGCUAUAGAUGUCCUUCAGCUUGCUUGACCCACUACAUCAGUCC